rnacentral:lncRNA from 10 species
AAUGACCGAAGCUUCAAGACUUUGACAUGUGUGAAAACAUGAAAUGACCCUUGGCUCUUAUUGUUCUUGCUGGUGUGGUAUGUUCACGGCUGAAAAGAUGGUCAGAAGGGGAAAGGAGGAAGUGAGAAGAAAGAAACAGGGAAAUGACAGAGUGUUGCUCAGUUACCCAGGCUGGAGUGCAAUGGCAUGAUCUUGGCUCACUGCAGCCUCCACCUCCUGGGUUCAAGCGGUUCUCGUGCCUCAGUCUCCCAAGUAGCUGGGAUUACAGCAGGCUGAGGAAUUACCAAGGAGGCAGGAGGUGGAGCAAAACACACCAAGCCUGGUGCCAAUCAUUGACAAUAUUAUGGAACUGACUCAGCGCAAGAAGACAGCUUCGACUCCUUGUGAUUUCAUCCCUAACCAAUCAGCACUCCUGGCUCACUGGCUUCCCCCAACCCACCAAAUUGUCCUUAAAAACUCUGCUCUCCAAACGCUGGGGGAGACUGAUUUGAGUAAUAAUAAAACCCUGGUCUCCUGCA